GGGGCAGGAAACGUUUUCAUCAGACAGCAAGCAGCGACGUUUUCGCUGGAUGGUGCACUGCUCCUCCCCCACGUCGUUGGAGGCCGUGCAGCGGUAGAGCCCCGCCAGGCUCAGCGAAUAGUUUCGGAUCAACAGCUGUCCGGUCAAACCGUCUGAAGAUAAGUGUACCAACUGUGGGCAGCUUCAUGAAGUAUAUCGCUGGACAACAUUCAAGCCAUGAAGCAGG